rnacentral:rRNA from 1 species
AUUGAACGCUGGCGGCAGGCCUAACCCAUGCAAGUCGAGCGGAUCGGCGGACGGGUGAGUAAUGCCUACGAAUCUGCAUGGAAGUGGGAGAUCAGGUUAGAAGACGGGCGGUACUACAGAAUACUAUCAGAUGAGCCUAGGUCGGAUUCGCUAGUUGGUGGGGUAAAGUCACACGAAGGCGACGUUCCGUAACUGGUCUGAGAGGAUGAUCAGUCACACUGUAACUGAGACACGGGCCAGACUCCUACGGGAGGCAGCAGUGGGGAAGUUUGGACAAUGGGCGAAAGCCUGAGCCAGCCAUGCCGCGUGUGUGAAGAAGGUCUCCGGAUUGUAAAGCACUUUAGGUUGGGAGGCGUUACCAACAGAAUAAGCACCGGCUAACUACGUGCCAGCAGCGGCGGUAAUAC